rnacentral:sRNA from 2 species
UGCAGCUGCGCCAAAGGGGUCUUUGUCAAAUUCCUUGCAGCGGCUGGUGCGAGAUGG